rnacentral:lncRNA from 1 species
UCAUUUUUCACUUUUACAAACCUUUUCAUGUUCCAAUUUUUGGUUAAUUAUUUGAACCAAUUCCUACACAUUUUUCUCUAAGAAGAUACGUUAUUCAACUCUCCUUCGUAUAUUUACAGUGUAAGUGCUUGAAAGUGAGGCAAAAUUUUUAAAAAUAUUUCUGCUAUUAAGAUAGAGAAAGAGAACCUAAAUCGCAAAUUGAUCCCUCAACUAUUGUACAAGGAGAUACAAAAGCUAAUUUCAUUUUUCAACGGUUAAAUUAAAUUUUUCCUUAAUAAAUUUAAGAAAAAAUUUAAGUAAUAGUAUAGUAUAAGUAUAAUUGUUUCUAGGACAAGUAUACAUGUGUUUAUAGAGACUUUUUGUCGACUAGUAUCCUGAAGACAUUAACGUAUUUUUUACUUGUACAUAAAAAGCUAUACAUUAAAUAAUAAAUAAGUAGCUAUUAAAUUUAAACUUACAAGAAUUUUCACUUAAUAUACCAAACAUGAUGUCAAAAACAUAACAAGCCUUUUAAAACACGUAGUCGUUGUCUUACUCUGAGAUGUACGGAUAUAAAAUAUUUACAUAACUAAAAUUUUGGAAAUUAUAAAAAUAAAUUGCUAAUUCAUUUGAAAUUGACAUUUUAGAAAAAAACAAAAAGGUCGAGCUAGAAGGAAAGUGAAAUUAUUGUUGAUUUUUAGUCACAAUUCCUCCACCGUUGGUGGUCGAUUGUUUCUACCCUUUUUUUAUUAUAUCGUUUUCUAAGUUUUUAUAGUUUGAGAUAUAUGGCUUAACAAAUAAGAUUCGUUACAAGAACCGAACAAAGAAGUUGUUGUCUUGGAUCCUUUAAUUUUAGUUGUGAACUAUCGUAUGAAUGACAAUAAAACACACUCAAGAAUUUAAAUUUGAGACAAGAACGAAUUGAGAUUUUUAGUCACAAUUCCUCCACUGUUGGUGGUCGAUUGUUACUACCAUUUUUCUAUUAUAUCGUUUUUUAAGUAUUUAUAGUUUGAGAAUAUAUGGUUUAACAAAUAAGAUUCGUUACAAGAACCGAACAAAGAAGUUGUUGUCUUGAAUCCUUUAAUUUCAUUUGUGAACUAUCGUAUGAAUGACAAUAAAACACAUUCAAGAAUUUAUAAUUCAUAAUUUAAUUUAAAUUUGGGACAAGAAUCAAUUGAGAUUUUUAGUCAUAAUUCCUCAACUAUUGGUGGUCGAUUG